rnacentral:rRNA from 1 species
CCUACGGGCGGCUGCAGUGGGGAAUAUUGGACAAUGGGCGAAAGCCUGAUCCAGCCAUGCCGCGUGUGUGAAGAAGGCCUUCGGGUUGUAAAGCACUUUCAGUGGGGAAGAAAGCCUUGGGGCUAAUACCCUCGAGGAAGGACAUCACCACAGAAGAAGCACCGGCUAACUCCGUGCCAGCAGCCGCGGUAAUACGGAGGGUGCGAGCGUUAAUCGGAAUUACUGGGCGUAAAGCGCGCGUAGGCGGUCUGAUAAGCCGGUUGUGAAAGCCCCGGGCUCAACCUGGGAACGGCAUCCGGAACUGUCAGGCUAGAGUGCAGGAGAGGAAGGUAGAAUUCCCGGUGUAGCGGUGAAAUGCGUAGAGAUCGGGAGGAAUACCAGUGGCGAAGGCGGCCUUCUGGACUGACACUGACGCUGAGGUGCGAAAGCGUGGGUAGCAAACAGGAUUAGAUACCCCGGUAGUC